ensembl:lncRNA
AGGACCACCCUGCCUGACUCUCACAUGUUUUUUCCUUUCCUGGUCAUUUACCCAGAAAACACCUUCACUUCCUCUGCAACACACCCAAGGCCCAGGUGCACAGAUCUCCGUGACAGCCUGGAUGAUAACUGAGCUACAUCUUUAAACCCGUGAUUUCCUGCAAGCAUUUGGCAGCUGGGCCUACCCCGGGAGGCGGAACACGCAGGCGGCACCAGCAGAGAUCUGAACGCAGGCGCCUGCAGAGCACCGGGCAGCGUCCGCACGACCCGGUGCUCCCGUGCUGCCCCGCGCGCUCCCGCCCCAGCCUCGUCACCUCGCGAGAUCUGGGCAUGAAGUCCCGCUCCACCGCGUGCCCCACGAUCCGGCGUGGCUGGACAGGAGUUGCUUCUGCCGCUGGAACACUGUGUCCCUCCGCCGCCAGGCUCGUGAGCUUCACGUGCCGCUCCUUAGCUGCGGUGAGCACCCUUGCAAAGGCAACAUUUCUGAUGGCGAGUCUGCUGGCUGCCGGCUUCCUUCUCCUUCGUGUCCUCCGCCUCCCCAGACCCGAGCACAGGCCUCCAGAUACGGCUCAGGCGGUAUGGACCGCCACCUACAUGGCUUGAAGAGUGGUAUGUAGGACUGUGCCCAGGAUCCGAACCCAUGAUCCCCAGGCCACCGAAGUGGAGCAUGCGAACUCAAGCACUAUGCCACAGGCCAGCCCCAUUUAAAGUGCUGGGAAAAUGAGGAAGGCAAAUGGGCACAGAGCUGGUUUUGACAGCAUCCUUGCCUGACCCUGUGAGCACACACUUUAUUUGCUGUUGAAAAGUAGAGGACAGCUCCAUUAGCAACUCCUCUCAUGGAGUGAUGGAAGGUCUCCUUUGUCAUAUGGAGAAGAUUCCUUCCCUGUGAUUGUGGUUUAUAGACCUGCAGCUGAAUUCGUUCAACAGCUGAAUGCAUUUGCUCUCCCUGGUCUUGGAAGAACUGGAACAAAGAAGAGGUGAAGAGGCAUGUUCUGCCUUAUUACAUUGUUUUUCAGAUACUUGCAGAAUGGGCUUCUUCCAGAGGUCCGGUCCAGGGGCCCUUCCUCUGAACUCGGAGACCCCAGCACCACCUGAGCAGUUACUCCUCUCUAAAGGUGUGUAUGAAAGCAUUUGUUUCUCUUCAACUUUGCCAACUGAAUUUGUUGUCAACUUUUUGGAUUUUUGCCAUCUCCAUAGAUGAAGAAACUGAGCCUAGAGACAUUAAGUGACAAACCCAAGGCUACUUAACUCAGAAGUGGUAGAGUUGAGUUUCAUCCCUGGGUCUUCUCCUCUGUUCUGUGUUGUUUCCCACUGCACACAGGCCUUCACGGACUGAAGUUCCAGGGGUCCCGGAUUUGCACGUUGGGGAUGAUAAAAGGCAGAGCUGAAACUUAUACCUGAUCACAUAGUGAGAACAGCUACUAUGAAGCUGGUCUCCAAACUUCUAACCAUCCUACUGGGAAAAUUAAAGGCAUCUUCUGAGGAUACAGGAAGAAAUUGAGUUUUAACCAUAGAGCAAUAAAAUCUGUUUCUGAGAAAUAAGAAAAUUCGAUGCCUUCCACAUACCUUGACCCAUCUUAGUAAUAAAGCUUGGUUUUUAUUCAACCAGAAGGAGAACAUCACUGCGGUUCUUCUUUUGCAGCGUUCCUCUACUUCCUCUAUCCCAAUAAAGGAGAAAUAUGCUUAUUCAGCAAGUCAGCUAUAAUUCUUUUUAAGGCAAAAAUUGUUCUUAGUAACCUGGUAGUGUUUCAUCUAGCUUAAGAGUCA